rnacentral:rRNA from 1 species
UGGGGAAUAUUGGGCAAUGGGCGCAAGCCUGACCCAGCAACGCCGCGUGAAGGAAGAAGGCUUUCGGGUUGUAAACUUCUUUUAUGAGGGACGGAAACAAAUGACGGUACCUCAUGAAUAAGCCACGGCUAACUACGUGCC